AGCGAACGCUGGCGGCAGGCCUAACACAUGCAAGUCGAACGAAGCCUUCGGGCUUAGUGGCGGACGGGUGAGUAACACGUGGGAACGUACCUUUUGGUUCGGAACAACUCAGGGAAACUUGAGCUAAUACCGGAUGAGCCCUUAGGGGGAAAGAUUUAUCGCCGAAAGAGCGGCCCGCGUUAGAUUAGCUAGUUGGUGAGGUAAAGGCUCACCAAGGCAACGAUCUAUAGCUGGUCUGAGAGGAUGAUCAGCCACACUGGGACUGAGACACGGCCCAGACUCCUACGGGAUGCAGAAGUGGGGAAUCUUGCGCAAUGGGCGAAAGCCUGUCGCAUCAAUGCCCCAUGAAUGAUGAAGGUCUUAGGCUUGUAAAAUUCUUUGACCAGGGACGAUAAUGACGGUACCUGGAGAAAAAGCCCCGGCUAACUUCGUGCCAGCAGCCGCCGUAAAAC
rnacentral:rRNA from 1 species